rnacentral:lncRNA from 1 species
UCUUUAUUGCCACUUCCAGUUAUUGAAUACUUUGAUUGGUUAUAAGAACUUGAUGAGAAUCAUGGUUAGGGGAGAGUAAAUGAGUUCAAGGAACCAGCAAAUAGGGGCAUGAUUUUCUUGGGAAAGAAGAAAAGAAAUGAUCUGAUAAUGAACAAAAUACUAGUUCUGAAUCUACUUGAAAGGAUGAGAUUGUUAUCGACAAUGUUUUAAAUCCUGGUAUCAAGGCUUAUCUUAGUCUGGGCUAGAUUGGUACAGUAUGGGGAUGAAACAUGUUACACCUAAGCAACCAUUAUUCAAAAACUGAAGAGAAAAAAAAAUGAAAAAAAUAAAAGUUCUCCUAGGAUGUUACGCCAUCUCAAGUAUCAGGAUGCACCAGUCCCAGUUUGGAAAGACCUAGGGUCUUGGAUGUGUCCCAGGACCCAGUCUUUUUACAGGUUGAUCUGGAAUGGCUAGGACAAACUGGGUCAGAGCGGGUCUAGAAUCCUUGGUUAUAGAACAAUGAACCAAAUUUCUGACAUGAACCCUCUAUUUUAUAGUUUUAUAACCCAUGAUUUAGGGGUUUUGACCUAUUUGCCCCUUCAGCAUAAAAUUUCAAGAUAGUCCCUUUUCCUUCUAAAAAGACAUUUAGCACCUGUUUUUUGAUGAAUGGGAGAAACAGUCUCUGUUUCUUAAUUAAUGAGUAAUGAUUAACUCCAAUCUUUUUCUAGUUAACAGUGACUAUGAUAUCAAUUUUUCUUUAUUCUCUUUACUCUCCUUUCCUUUAAGGUGUUUUUCCUAUCAUUCUAAAAGAAUUCAGGUUAUAGUUGGCAUUUAAGCAGGAACAGAUUAAAGAAAUUAGUCAUUAGUUGUAUUGCAGGGACUGUUUUGUCCCAUUUACCAAAAAUUAGGAGCUAGAUGCCUCUUCAGAAGAAAGGGGAUAUUUUGAGGAUUGGGUUGGAAAAUGGGGACUGAUACGUCAAAAUCUCAGGUUUUUUCUGCAAAGUCCAAUAUUGAAGACAUUUUCUGGUUGUAUGAACCCAAUGAGAAUCAUGGCUGAGGGUGAGAAUAGCCUGCUGUUUCCUUUCCUUUUUUUUUAGUAUUUAUUGUCUUCUCUGUCUCUCUUUUUCUAUGAUGAUGAGAACUCAAAACAUUCAUGUUUAAAAAGGUCAUCUCUCUCUCU